UAGGGAAUCUUCCACAAUGGGACGCAAGUCUGAUGGAGCAACGCCGCGUGAGUGAAGAAGGUCUUCGGAUCGUAAAACUCUGUUGUUAGAGAGGAACACGAGUGAGAGUAACUGUUCAUUCGAUGACGGUAUCUAACCAGCAAGUCACGGCUAACUACGUGCCAG
rnacentral:rRNA from 1 species